AACGAACGCUGGCGGCAUGCCUAACACAUGCAAGUCGAACGAGACCUUCGGGUCUAGUGGCGCACGGGUGCGUAACGCGUGGGAACCUGCCCUUAGGUUCGGAAUAACUCCCCGAAAGGGGUGCUAAUACCGGAUAAUGUCUUCGGACCAAAGAUUUAUCGCCUUUGGAUGGGCCCGCGUCGGAUUAGCUAGUUGGUAGGGUAAAAGCCUACCAAGGUGACGAUCCAUAGCUGGUCUGAGAGGAUGAUCAGCCACACUGGGACUGAGACACGGCCCAGACUCCUACGGGAGGCAGCAGUGGGGAAUAUUGGACAAUGGGCGAAAGCCUGAUCCAGCAAUGCCGCGUGAGUGAUGAAGGCCUUAGGGUUGUAAAGCUCUUUUACCCGGGAUGAUAAUGACAGUACCGGGAGAAUAAGCUCCGGCUAACUCCGUG
rnacentral:rRNA from 1 species